rnacentral:rRNA from 1 species
AUUGAACGCUGGCGGCAUGCCUUACACGUGCAAGUCGAACGGCAGCACGGGAGCAAUCCUGGUGGCGAGUGGCGAACGGGUGAGUAAAGUAUCGGAACGUGCCCCGUCGUGGGGGAUAACGUAGCGAAAGUUACGCUAAUACCGCAUACGAUCUAUGGAUGAAAGCGGGGGAUCGCAAGACCUCGCGCGAUUGGAGCGGCCGAUAUCAGAUUAGGUAGUUGGUGGGGUAAAGGCUCACCAAGCCGACGAUCUGUAGCUGGUCUGAGAAGACGACCAGCCACACUGGGACUGAGACACGACCCAGACUCCUACGGGAGGCAGCAGUGGGGAAUUUUGGACAAUGGGCGAAAGCCUGAUCCAGCCAUGCCGCGUGCAGGAUGAAGGCCUUCGGGUUGUAAACUGCUUUUGUACGGAACGAAAAGGUUUGGCCUAAUAAGCUGAGCUCAUGACGGUACCGUAAGAAUAAGCACCGGCUAACUACGUGCCAGCCGCCGCCGUAA